GGCAAUGUGGCUGAGUGGUUUGAGGCGCUGAUCUUGAAAUCCAGAAUUUCUGGGUUCAAGUCCUCCAUCCUGCCA